UACGUAGGGGGCAAGCGUUGUCCGGAUUUAUUGGGUGUAAAGGGUGCGUAGGCGGGAGAGUAAGUCCGCGGUGAAAUCUCACGGCUCAACCGUGAAACUGCCGUUGAUACUGCUUUUCUUGAGUUCGGGAGAGGUUGAUGGAAUUCCAGGUGUAGCGGUGAAAUGCGUAGAUAUCUGGAAGAACACCAGUGGCGAAGGCGGCUCACUGGCACGGUACUGACGCUGAGGUGCGAAAGCGUGGGGAGCAAACAGG
rnacentral:rRNA from 1 species